UACGCUGUUAUCCCCAAGGUAACUUAAUUUAUAAUUAAUCAAAUAGAUCUUAAAUUCACAAAUCAGUGAUUUUUAGUAAAAGAAUUAUAUUAAUCUUUAGGUUACCCCAACCAAACUUUUUAUAAAAAGAAAAUCCUAAAUCUCUUAAAAAGUAAAGCUCUAUGGGGUCUUCUCGUCUUUUAUAUUUAUUUAAGCCUUUUAACUUAAAAGUUAAAUUCACAAAAAAUUAAAAAGAGACAGAAAUUUUCUUGUCCAAUCAUUCAUACAAGAUCCUAAUUAAGGAACUAAUUAUCACGCUACCUUCGCACAGUCAAAAUACUGCGGCUAUUUAAAAUUCAUUGAGCAGAUUAGACCUUAANNNNNNNNNNNNNNNNNNNNUUUUUAUUAACGGCCAAAAAUUAUUAUGCCGAAUUCCUUUUUUUAACCUAAACUAUAAUUAACAUAAUUAUUUAUUUAUUACUAAUUUAAUCAUUAUUACAUUUAUUUAAAUAUUAAAUAAAUCAUUUUAAUAUAAAAACUAAAGUUUUAUAAAUUUUUAAUAAAUUAUAACUAAUUAUAAAAUUAUUCAUGAUUAACAAUUCAAAUUAUACAAAAUACAAAUUUUAAGUUAACUUUUAAUAUUUUAUUUAAAAGAUCAUCCCAUUAAAUAUUUAAUAUUAAAUUUUAAUUAUUCAUUUAUUAAUAAUUAAAUUUUAUAAUAAUAGAAUUAAAUUCUUUUCUUAAAAAAUUAGAUAUCACUAAAAUCGAAUAACGUUUCAUUUCAAAUUAAUUAUUAUAAAAAAUUUUUCCACAUUUAAAUUUAUAAUUAAUUUGCUCUUUUAGUUUCGAAAAAAUUAUAUAAUUAACUUAUAAUUAAUCAACCCUGAUGCACAAGGUACAAAAUUUUUUUUUAUUUAAUAAAAAUUCUGAUAUUCUAUCACAAUACUAUUACACUAUAACUAAAAUUAAAUUUUUCUAUUUUAUAAUAAAAUAAAGUUAUUUCUAUAAAAAUAAAUAAAUAAAUCAAUUCUUAUCAAAUUAGUUGAACUAUCAACAAUCUUUUUAAUGUAAAUAAAAAACUUUAGAAGCUUUAAUUUGAUAAUUCUAGAUACACUUUCCAGUACAUCUACUUUGUUACGACUUAUCUCAUUGAUUGAGAGCGACGGGCAAUAUGUACAUAUUUUAGAACAAAAAUCAUUAAAAAUAAAUAUUUCUAAUUACUCUCAAAUCCAAUUUAAUUUAAACAUUAAAAAUUAAAAACCAAAAAUAAAUUUAAUGUAAUCCAUUUCUUCUUAUUUAUAAGCUGCACCUUGAUCUGAAAUUACUUAAUAUAAUAAAAAUGAAAAUUAACUCAAAAAAGAAAUUCUUAACAACGAUAUACAAACUAAAAAAAUAAGUACCUCUUAUCGUGGAUUAUCAAUUAUGAAACAGAUUCCUCUGAAUUGAUUAAAAUACCGCCAAAAUUUUUAAUUUUCAAGAAUUUA
rnacentral:rRNA from 1 species